GAUGAAUGCUGGCGGCGUGCCUAAUACAUGCAAGGCGAGCGGAAAGGCCCUUCGGGGUACUCGAGCGGCGGACGGCUGAGGAACACGUGGGAACAUACCCCAGAGUGAGGAAUAACGCACCGAAAGGUGUGCUAAUACCGCAUAAUCUCUUUGGAGCAAAGCAGCAAUGCGCUUUGGGAAUGGCCUGCGGCGGAUUAGAUAGUUGGCGAGGUAAAGGCUCACCAAGUCGACGAUCGGUAGAUGGUUUGUGAGGAUGAUCAUCCAGACUGGGACUGAGACACGGCCCAGACUCCUACGGGAGGCAGCAGUGGGGAAUAUUGCGCAAUGGGCGGAAGCCUGACGCAGCGACGCCGCGUGGGGGAUGACGGCCUUCGGGUCGUAAACCUCUUUCGCCAGGGACGAAGAGUGAUUGACGGUACCUGGAGAAGAAGCACCGGCCAACUACGUGCCAGCCGCCGCGGUAA
rnacentral:rRNA from 1 species